AAAAAGAAACAAAAUUUAAAUGUUAGAUCACUGCGAAGCGCCUCAAGCUACUGUUCUAGAUUAGCUUGUGAUCCGUUAUCAGUCAUGUAAAUAACAUGUAUUCAACUGAUUGGGGCUGCAGGAGGCCAUUUUAUACAGAGAUCCAUCAAACUGUGCUUCCUUUCCGACAGAAAUCUGUUAUCCAAAUCAGUUGUUGCGUGUUUCGAUUGCAUAAAGACGACAGUAAAAUGAAAUACUUCAAUAUUAUAAUCGACCACGCAGAGCUACCACUCCACCGAUGGGGAAUCUGUGAUGCCUUUUGUUUUUAUCAGAAUAGCGGCGGGGGGUCGUUUCGGGUCGCCUCUGCCGCAGCCGGUCGUUCUGGUCCGGGGUCGGACCGUAGCUCCCAUCAGGCCCCUGGUUCAGGGGUCAGGGGUGGGUCGGCUUGACUGCCUGAAACGCUUCCGCUCUGUAACAUAUCACGUGUAGAUACACACUGUAAAACACCAACCACACUGUACAGAAUGCCCCCUCUACAGGAGACCAUGUGUAUAGAAGAUUCAUUUCUAAUCUGAUUUCACCCAUUUUAAAUGGAGAGAGAUGGAUUUAUGAGAUACGAAUAAAUACGUGAAUAAUCCGUCACUGUCUUGGCUUUUGUGGGGAGGAGAGACGGUUUCACAGCACGACUUCUCUGUCAACUAGUUUUAACAAUCAAUACACUAUUUAAAAAAACACUCCAGAAGGACCCUUCUUUUUUUUGUCCAGAGGUAAAAGGUCAGGUGCUCUAGCACCUCCUAAUGUCCAGCUGUGCACAUCACUGGCUGGGACUCUGGUAGAUGUUUGAAACCCUAAAAUAAAUAUCAUUUUGUAGUUGUCAAUCUGUAACACAGAUUGUGUUACUAGCAUGUCAUUAAAAACCAUCACUGUUCACACAGAAAUGUUUGAGUGCAUUUUAGAAAGAAAAGCAGUAGUUCUGUUAAAAACUGUUGCAUUUUAUUUAAUUCAUUUUAGACUGAGAAGUAAAUCAAGCUUUAAAUAGUCAAGCUAUCAGCUCCAAUAGCUAGCCUUUUGUUACCUGCUGCAGUUUCAAAAUCUUCAAUGGAGUUAUUGUCAAUGCUUUUUAAUUUCUAAACUUUGAUCAUCUGGGGAAAUAUUUCCAAAGCAGAUGACGCUGUCUUGAAAGAAUGAGGAAAGUGUAGUACCCGUGUUUCACCAGCAGUGUGCAGCAAACAGAUGGAAGAACAGCAGUCAAAUCAUAGUUUUUAUUGUUUAUGAAUCACUUCAGACACAACUGGUAGACAUUUUAGAAGAUGAAAAUAAAACACUUUUGAGAACACUGUAAAUAUAAAAUGUUAACGGCAUUAGUUUUCUAGUUGUACUAUAAUGCCUCAUUUCUCUUAAGGGUUGCAUGUAGAAAAUUCAAGCUAGAUCUACUGUUUUUUUUCUUGUCUUUAUUGCUUUGAGUCCCAGUGAAGCAACUGACAUAUCCUAUUGGGAUUCUUCA